GAUGAACGCUGGCGGCGUGCCUAAUACAUGCAAGUCGAGCGAACAGACGAGGAGCUUGCUCCUUUGACGUUAGCGGCGGACGGGUGAGUAACACGUGGGUAACCUACCUAUAAGACUGGGAUAACUUCGGGAAACCGGAGCUAAUACCGGAUAAUAUUUCGAACCGCAUGGUUCGAUAGUGAAAGAUGGCUCUGCUAUCACUUAUAGAUGGACCUGCGCCGUAUUAGCUAGUUGGUAAGGUAACGGCUUACCAAGGCAACGAUACGUAGCCGACCUGAGAGGGUGAUCGGCCACACUGGAACUGAGACACGGUCCAGACUCCUACGGGAGGCAGCAGUAGGGAAUCUUCCGCAAUGGGCGAAAGCCUGACGGAGCAACGCCGCGUGAGUGAUGAAGGUCUUCGGAUCGUAAAACUCUGUUAUUAGGGAAGAACAAACGUGUAAGUAACUGUGCACGUCUUGACGGUACCUAAUCAGAGAGCCACGGCUAACUACGUG
rnacentral:rRNA from 1 species